rnacentral:rRNA from 1 species
UACGUAGGUGACAAGCGUUGUCCGGAAUUAUUGGGCGUAAAGAGCUUGUAGGCGGUUUGUCGCGUCUGCUGUGAAAAUUCGAGGCUCAACCUCGAACUUGCGGUGGGUACGGGCAGACUAGAGUGUGGUAGGGGAGACUGGAAUUCCUGGUGUAGCGGUGAAAUGCGCAGAUAUCAGGAGGAACACCGAUGGCGAAGGCAGGUCUCUGGGCCACUACUGACGCUGAGAAGCGAAAGCAUGGGGAGCGAACAGG